UACGAGGGGAGCAAGCGUUGUUCGGAUUUAUUGGGCGUAAAGCGCACGUAGGUGGUCUGUUAUGUCAGAUGUGAAAGCCCUCGGCUUAACUGAGGAAGUGCACCUGAAACUGGCAGGCUUGAGUACGAAAGAGGGUCGCGGAAUUCCCGGUGUAGAGGUGAAAUUCGUAGAUAUCGGGAGGAACACCGGUGGCGAA
rnacentral:rRNA from 1 species